GGAGAACGCUCCGCAAUAAAUUAGAUUUUGUCCGUAUUAUUCAGUAUCAAUCCGCAUCCCAAAGUGUGUUUUAUUUCGCGUUUCGUGUUUCGUGGCGUAAUCUAUUCGCGAUGUGAAUCCAUAAAAAGAAGUGCGCGUAACUGACAAUAAAUUUUGAAAGUGUUUCUCAGUUCUUCUAUGGAACUGAUAUAGAGAAGUUUAAAGUAAAAUCUGCAAAUUGCAAUUUAGGUACAGUUGAAAGAACAUACAUAUUAUUAAUUAAGCUACAACAAUCGACGAGCUCAUGCAUCACAUUCUGAAGUGGAACCUGCGGCGGGCAGCUAAAGCAAAUUGCAAUACCCUAGCAGGUACAGCUAAGAAAGUGUAUUCUCUAGGGUACAACGUCCGGAUAGAGGCAGAAUCCACAGACAACGAUUACGCAAUUGAGGGUUAGCCGAUAGAAGAAGCUAGAAAAAAAGACAGAGG